GGGGAGGCAGGCAUUCUGCUUGUUCUCAUUUGUUCUCAAAUUACAUGAUAAAAUACAUGUUUUGGACCUUUUAAACCAAAGGGAGUUAUUGAGCCCGCUUACAAAAUCCAUAACAUGUUAGCAGGACUUAUCUAGCUGCCUCCACAGAAUAGCCAAGCAACUCUACACCCGCUUUAGCCCCCACAAAAACAAGCGGAUUGCACUACAAAUAAUUUGCCUAUUUGGAAAAUGAAAGCUUCUCUGUAGUUUGAGGUCCUAUUUUUUCUUUAAGUUGUUACAGUCUUUUCAUGGUCCUUGAGGUCUAGGUUAGGUUUUUGUUUGGGGUAAUUUUUGUAUCCUAUGGAUACUAUUUAAUCUUUAGUAUUGAGUCAGUAUUUCUCACUUAGGCCUUAGGGGAAUACUGCCUGAAGUAUGUAGGGGGCAUGCGGAAUUCAGACGUGGCUUGGAAACUGCACCAUGGGUUCACCCAAGAAACAGACCAGAGGCAACACAUUCUAUCACUAAAACGUGUUCUCAGUUACACUUCCCUUCCAAAGAGGAGAAAAUAUACAAAGAGAAGAUGAAGAGACAACCAAACAGGAUUAUUUGUGCCCAUGAGGGAAACACGAAGGAUUGUCAGUAUUCAUUUGCUAUCAGAACUGCCUUUGAACUUCAGGGAAGCCGCCAUCUUGUUUUAGUUCACUCCUCUAAAGCACAGUGUCUGCAACAUGAAACACUAGUAAGACACAGUUAUCCAGAAAGAGCCCUAGAGAUGGAUAAGGAACCUGUUGGAAUGCUCUGAUAUUAAGAAAAAAAAAAUUAAAUUCAAAACCAAAAACAAGUCACAAGGGAGUUUUAUGCCUAUGUAAUCAGUGCAGACAGCCGUUAAGUAAAUGAAGAGGCAACUAACAAUGUCAGAAAAGAGACCGGGCGGUUCCGGCUGACACUACCCUAAUCUUCCAGGACCCAUUAAAUGGUAGUUUCAACGCAUUACCUACCAUAACAUCCUUGAAUAUCACUGAUUUUAUUUGCAGUAUCAAACAUUCCAUUUCAUGCCCCAUUAACAGUGGGAGCCUGGGCUUUUUGACGCAGCUAAACAUUUUACUAACUACCUGGACUAAGUAACCAAUUAACUUUUGGAGACAAUACGGCCAAUUAAGCGCGAAAAGAAAAUUUGGAAAACAGGCUUUUCCUAUCCGGAUGAACAGAGAUAAUUUGUGUCGAUGGAUGUUCUGUGAAGGCCUAUUGUGUCGAGCAGCGUAUUAAAACAUAAACAUGGCUCUUCCCCCAAGAAACUUACAUUUCAGUAAGGGAGCCUGGCCAAAAUGGAAAACUGCAAGGUUCAAAUCCUGGAGUGCAGAAGAAGCAUUAGGCAUUGACCCUGUGGCUUCCUAAUAGAUCCGCAAAGUGCUUUGUUCCUGGAAAUCAUCCGAUGAGUAGUUCAGUGCUAUUGUAUAUCUUGUUAGAGCAGCCGAAGUGCCACAAAAUGAACUAAAAUCUCCCUGCAGAGUUGCUGUAUCAUAUGCUGAGAACAUUCGGAACUUUCAACAAAUUCAUGUUACGAUCCUGGGUAGCCAUGGUUAAAUCUGUACAGGGGUUAAAUGAGAAAUAUGAGCCUGCUGUUAAGUGUCUUCUGAGAGUGACAAAGCUCUGGCCAUAAGGGAUGGGAGAGGAGGGAUUUCUUCUCAGCCUUCCAGCCCUUUCCAGCUGUAUCACAGACAGGAGACAUAAUGCAAAGGGGCUCAGACAUUGACUUCCUGGAUCUUUGCGGCCCCAGGCAUUGACCCCCUCUACCUGGCUUUUCCUACGCUGUAAAAUGAGGAUCCUCCUAUAUUAUGGAGUUUAUUGUGACAACUAAAUAGCUGAGAAGAAGGACAUCUCAUUUGUUUUAACUAUGCAGUUUCCUGUCUAUCUAUCUAUCUAUCCCAUCAAUCUAUCAAUCAAUCUAUCAAUCUGUCUAUCCCUAUCUAUCUAUCCAUCUAUCUAUCUAUAUCUGUCUAUAUCUAUCUAACAUUUAUCUAUCAUCUAUUCAUCUAUCAGCUAUCUUCUGUCUAUCAAUAUUUCAAUCAAUCUCUCUAUCCCUAUCAAUUAAUCUAUCUACCUACCUAUCAACUAUCCAUCUAUCUCUAUCAUCUAUCAUCUAUUCAUCUAUCAUUUAUCAUCUGUCAAUCCAUCUUCCUACUAUCUAUCAAAAGCAACACAUUUUCUUCCUGACUUUAAAAAUAUUUAAGUGGGCCGGGAGGAUGGCUCACGCCUGUAAUCCCAGCACUUUGGGAGGCCUAGGCGGGCGGAUCACGAGGUCAGGAGAUGGAGACCAUCCUGGCUAACAUGGUGAAACCCCGUCUCUACUAAAAAUACAAAAAAAAAAAAAAAUUAACCAGGCGUGGUGGAGGGCGCCUGUAGUCCCAGCUACUCGGGAGACUGAGGCAGGAGAAUGGGGAGAACCCGGGAGGCGGAGCUUGCAGUGAGCCGAGAUCAUGCCACUGCACUCCAGCCUGGGCGACAGAGCAAGACUCCAUCUCAAAAGAAACAAAAACAAAAACGUAAGUGAUACUCUGUCCACUCUUUUGAUUGAGGAGGUCUGAUUUUCAGGCUUUGGAUUUUAUUAUGUCUUCAAUAUAAUAAUUGUUCCAUGUAUCUCUCCUAAAUUGCCAUUUGAAAAACUGCUUUUCUGAAGUUUAAAGUGCACAUUUUGAUACAUCUUGACACAUAUAUACACCCAUGAAAUCAUCACCACAAUCAGGAUAGUAGAUCUAUCCAUUACCGCCAAGGUUUACUUGCACUCCUUUGAACUUUCUCCCCACUCCUCACCCCCUGCCUAUCCCCAAUCCUUAAGCAAUCACUGAUUUGCUUUCUGUCACUAUCAGUUAAUUUGAAUUUUUCAGAAAUGUAUAUAAAUAAAAUCAUUCGACGUGUAUGCUCUUUUUCUGUUCACCCGGUACAAUUUGAGAUUUAGCCAUGUUUUUGCAUGUGUCAAUAGUUUAUUUUUUUGUUGCUCAGUACUAAUCCAUUUUAUGGAUACAGAGAAAUGUAUUAAUGCAAUCCCAUAUUAAUAGGCAUUUGGGUUGUUUCCAGGUUUGGGCUGUUACAAAUAAAGCUGCUAUGAACAUUUUUGUGCAAGUCUUUUUAUGAGUAUAUUCCUUUAUUUCUUUUGGGUAAAUACCUAGAAGUGGGAUGGGUGUAUCACAUGGUACGUAAAUAUUUAAAUUUUUAAGAGAAUGCCAAACUGUUUUUCAAAGUAAUUGCACCAUUUUAUAUUCCCACCAGGAAUAUAUGAGAAUUCCAGUUCCUCUACAUACUCACAGACAUAUUGUAUGGUCAGU
rnacentral:lncRNA from 10 species